GGGUCGUUAGCUCAGCUGGUAGAGCAGUUGGCUUUUAACCAAUUGGUCGCGCGUUCGAAUCGCGCACGACCCACCA
rnacentral:tRNA from 28 species